CAAUAGCGUAUAUUUAAGUUGUUGCAGUUAAAAAGCUCGUAGUUGGAUUUCGGUUAAGAGCGACCGGUCCGCCGUUUGGUGUGCACUGGUUGGUUUUAACUUCCUGUAGAGGACGUGCUCUGGGUUUAACGACCUGGACUCGGAGUCUACGUGGUUACUUUGAAAAAAUUAGAGUGUUCAAAGCGGGCUUACGCUUGAAUAUUUCAGCAUGGAAUAACACUGUAGGACUCCUGUCCUAUUUCGUUGGUCUCGGGACGGGAGUAAUGAUUAAGAGGAACAGUUGGGGGCAUUCGUAUUUCAUUGUCAGAGGUGAAAUUCUUGGAUUUAUGAAAGACGAACUUCUGCGAAAGCAUUUGCCAAGGAUGUUUUCAUUAA
rnacentral:rRNA from 1 species